AUUGAACGCUGGCGGCAGGCCUAACACAUGCAAGUCGAGCGAGCGGCGGACGGGUGAGUAAUGUAUGGGGACUGCCCGAUAGAGGGGGAUAACUACUGGAAACGGUGGCUAAUACCGCAUACUAUCGGAUAACCCAUUGGGGAUUAGCUAGUAGGUGGGGUAAAGGCUCACCUAGGCGACGAUCUCUAGCUGGUCUGAGAGGAUGAACAGCCAGACUGGGACUGAGACACGGCCCAGACUCCUACGGGGGCCGCAGUGGGGAAUAUUGCACAAUGGGCACAGGCCUGUUGCAGCCCUGCCGCGUGUAUGAAGAAGGCCUUAGGGUUGUAGAGUGCUUUCAGCGGGGAGGCGUUGUCCGCAGAAGAAGCACCGGCUAACUCCGUGCCAGCAGCCGCGGUAAUUC
rnacentral:rRNA from 1 species